GAUGAACGUUGGCGGCGUGCCUAAUACAUGCAAGUCGAGCGAACAGACGAGGAGCUUGCUCCUCUGACGUUAGCGGCGGACGGGUGAGUAACACGUGGAUAACCUACCUAUAAGACUGGGAUAACUUCGGGAAACCGGAGCUAAUACCGGAUAAUAUAUUGAACCGCAUGGUUCAAUAGUGAAAGACGGUUUUGCUGUCACUUAUAGAUGGAUCCGCGCCGCAUUAGCUAGUUGGUAAGGUAACGGCUUACCAAGGCAACGAUGCGUAGCCGACCCGAGAGGGUGAUCGGCCACACUGGAACUGAGACACGGUCCAGACUCCUACGGGAGGCAGCAGUAGGGAAUCUUCCGCAAAGGGCGAAAGCCUGACGGAGCAACGCCGCGUGAGUGAUGAAGGUCUUCGGAUCGUAAAACUCUGUUAUUAGGGAAGAACAAAUGUGUAAGUAACUAUGCACGUCUUGACGGUACCUAAUCAGAAAGCCACGGCUAACUACGUG
rnacentral:rRNA from 1 species